GCCUGGCCCUAAAUCUUGAUGCUCGAUCUUACCGGAGCAUCCGCCCGAGAACUACGAGCACAAACGCUUAAAACUCUAAGGACUUGGCGGUGCUCCAAACCCACCUAGAGGAGCCUGUUCUAUAACUCGAUGAUCCACGAUAUACCUGACCAUUCCUUGCCAGAACAGCCUAUAUACCGCCGUCGCCAGCCCACCCCGCAUGAAGGCCCAACAGUGGACGCAAUAGCCUCACCCCGCUAACAAGACAGGUCAAGGUAUAGCCUAUGGAAUGGAAGCAAUGGGCUACAUUUUCUAGACUAGAACACAACGGCAAAGGGACUUGAAAUUGUCCCUGGAAGGCGGAUUUAGCAGUAAAGAGAGACAAUCGAGCCCUCUU
rnacentral:rRNA from 1 species